rnacentral:lncRNA from 1 species
GGAAAGUAGGUGAGCUUGACCACAUCCUUUGGGUGGUUAUACUGCUGGUAGACACCUGCCUGUUUUGCUACCCUCUUUCUCCACUACUUUCCUUUACUCGGGAAAUAGUUCUUUAUGCCCAAAAGCAAUUUUAUUAGCAAUGUCUAGAAAAAAAAUUUUAGUCUAAGGAAAGUAAUUUAGAAAAUAACUAUCCAUGGUGUUAUUUUAUUCAAAUAUUUAGGAUUCUCUGAUGUGAUUGCACUUUAUUUGGUAAAUGAAUUUCAGAUUAUUUUCUGUAAUAGUUUGCAUGAAAUCUUUUAGUUAUUAAGAAAUAGGAGCUGUACAGCAUAUUGAAAUUUUAAAAAUUAAGGUGGCUUCUCAGAUUGAAAAAACUUACAUUGAAUCUAAGGCUUUCUCAACUACAAAAUCACCGAACUUUUAACACAUCUAAUUUUAAAAGCCAAUAAUAGAUAUGAUCUAUGUCACUAAGUUAAGACAGUAAAAGUUCUAGUAGAACUUCAGGAAAAGUUAAGAGAAAUCAAAUUUUUGAACUUAAUUCAUUCCUUUUUAUGAUGCAUCUGGCUUAUUUCUUGCUUUUGAUGAUUAGCUGAAGCAAGGAAAGGUUAAAGAGAUUUUACAAAUUGCUUAAACACACAUAUGUUUCUGCAUUUCAGGUAUCAAUCUUGAUAGCAAAUCUUAAAAGCUAACUUUCUGCAUUAUAUUUUCAGUCUAUGCAAUGUCAGCACAGUCAUAAUGUGGUCUAGAGUUUAUUAUAUUAGAUGGUAAGAAAUUUGUGCUGAUAAACGCUAUAAACCAGUAUUACCCAGUGUUAAGCCACACCACUCACCAAAUAUGAAGACUUCAAAGAAGUUCGGAGCUUAAUUUAAAUGAUAUGAGAAGUUUGCCUGGGAAUUGAGAGGAGCCUGCUGAUUGGAAUGGUUCAUCAUGCCUUUCUAAUAUGAAUUGGCAAAACUGUGAUAUUGAGUUGCCCCUUUAAAAACAACCUUCCGGAAUGUAUUUGCUUGCUUACUAUGG